rnacentral:rRNA from 1 species
GGAAUCUUCCACAAUGGACGCAAGUCUGAUGGAGCAACGCCGCGUGAGUGAAGAAGGUCUUCGGAUCGUAAAACUCUGUUGUUAAAGAAGAACACGUAUGAGAGUAACUGUUCAUACGUUGACGGUAUUUAACCAGAAAGUCNCGGCUAACUACGUGCCAG